UACGUAGGGUGCGAGCGUUAAUCGGAAUUACUGGGCGUAAAGUGUGCGCAGGCGGCAGAGCAAGUCGAGUGUGAAAGCCCCGGGCUUAACUUGGGAAUUGCGCUCGAAACUACUUUGCUGGAGUGUGGCAGAGGAAGGUGGAAUUCCACGUGUAGCGGUGAAAUGCGUAGAGAUGUGGAGGAACACCAAUGGCGAAGGCAGCCAUUCUGGGCCGAACACUGACAGCCUCAUGCACGAAAGCGUGGGGAGCAAACAGG
rnacentral:rRNA from 1 species